GUGCUCGCUCCAGCAGCACAUAUACUAACAUUGGAAAGAUACAGAGAAGAUUUGCAUGUCGCCUGCACAAGGGUAACAUGCAAAUUCGUAAAAGGGCCAAUCUGAUA
ensembl:snRNA U6 U6 spliceosomal RNA